ensembl:misc_RNA 7SK 7SK RNA
GAAUGUGAGGUUUAUCUGGCUGCUACAUGUCACCCCCAUUGAUUGCUAGCAUUGAUUCGGCUGACCUGGCUGGCUAGGUGGGUGUCCCCUUCCUCCCUUACUGCUCCAUGUGCAUGCCUCCCGAAGCUGCGUGCUCAGCCGAAGAGGACGACCAUCCCCGAUAGAGGAGGAUCGUUCUUCAGUCAAGGGUAUACAAAUAGCUGCACUCCCUAGCUAGAACCUCCAAACAAGCUCUCAAAAAUCUACAACAGAUGCACACACAAAUAAGAAAAAGCAAUCCAAACACUGCACUAAAGAUAGUCAUCAAACAACAAGAGGAGUU